AACCUGGUUGAUCCUGCCAGUAGUCAUAUGCUUGUCUCAAAGACUAAGCCAUGCAUGUCUAAGUAUAAAUGGUAUACAAUGAAACUGCGAAUGGCUCAUUAAAACAGUUAUAGUUUAUUUGGUAAUCGAAUUUACAUGGAUAACCGUGGUAAUUCUAGAGCUAAUACAUGCUGUAAGCCCGACUUUGCGGAAGGGCCGUAUUUAUUAGAUAACAGACCAAUAUUCCUCGUGUCUGUUGUGGUGAAUCAUAGUAACUAAUCGGAUCGCAUGGGAAUUUCCCGCGACAAACCAUUCAAGUUUCUGCCCCAUCAGCUUUCGAUGGUAGUGUAUUGGACUACCAUGGCUUUUACGGGUAACGGAGGAUUAGGGUUCGAUUCCGGAGAGGGAGCCUGAGAAACGGCUACCACAUCUAAGGGAGGCAGCAGGCGCGUAAAUUACCCAAUCCUAAUUCAGGGAGGUAGUGACAAGAAAUAACGGAUCGGGGCUUUGCCCUGGGACUGAAAUGAGAUGAAUUUACACCCCUUUUACGAGAAUCAAUUGGAGGGCAAGUCUGGUGCCAGCAGCCGCGGUAAUUCCAGCUCCAAUAGCGUAU
rnacentral:rRNA from 1 species